rnacentral:rRNA from 1 species
UACGUAGGGGGCCAGCGUUGUCCGGAAUCAUUGGGCGUAAAGCGCGCGUAGCGGCCCGGUAAGUCCGCUGUAAAAGUCAAAGGCUCAACCUUUGAAUGUCAGUGGAUACUGCCGGGCUAGAGUCCGGAAGAGGCGAGUGGAACUCCUGGUGUAGCGGUGGAAUGCGCAGAUAUCAGGAAGAACACCGACGGCGAAGGCAGCUCGCUGGGACGGUACUGACGCUGAGGCGCGAAAGCGUGGGGAGCGAACAGG